rnacentral:rRNA from 1 species
AUGAGUAGAGCAGGGAGCAGCGGGGGUGGCCGGAGCUCUCUAGGCUACCUCUUUGAGCCGGAUGAGAUCUUCCCGAUCCACAAGUUCAAAUCCAACCAAGAGACCGAGAAGCUCUCGGAAGACAGCAUCGUCAUGCAGCCGCAGGACGACAAGGUCAUGACCGGUGAUGAAGCAGACCACCAAGAACCGCCGUAUAAGGCUCCUCCGAAGAGAGAGGACUCGAACCCGAUUGUGUCUCACAGACCUGCUUCCAUCAUCUACCACACUAACCAAUCGGGCAACAACACCGGGCUUCUAAUCACUAACCGACCGUCGACGAGGGUCCGGUGUGCACCGGGAGGGGCGUCGUCGCUUGGAUUUCUCUUCUCUUCGGAGACGAACGUAACUGACGACAAAUGA